UACGGGGGGAGCAAGCGUUGUCCGGAUUUACUGGGCGUAAAGGGCGCGUAGGCGGCCAGCGCAAGUCAGUUGUGAAAUCUCCGGGCUUAACUCGGAAAGGUCAACUGAUACUGCGCGGCUAGAGUGCAGAAGGGGCAACUGGAAUUCUCGGUGUAGCGGUGAAAUGCGUAGAUAUCGAGAGGAACACCUGCGGCGAAGGCGGGUUGCUGGGCUGACACUGACGCUGAUGCGCGAAAGCCAGGGGAGCGAACGGG
rnacentral:rRNA from 1 species